rnacentral:rRNA from 1 species
GGGGGGCUAUACAUGCAAGUCGAGCGAGCUGAAUUCAAAGAUUCCUUCGGGAUGAUUUGUUGGACGCUAGCGGCGGAUGGGUGAGUAACACGUGGGCAAUCUGCCCUAAAGACUGGGAUACCACUUGGAAACAGGUGCUAAUACCGGAUAACAACAUGAAUCGCAUGAUUCAAGUUUGAAAGGCGGCGUAAGCUGUCACUUUAGGAUGAGCCCGCGGCGCAUUAGCUAGUUGGUGGGGUAAAGGCCUACCAAGGCAAUGAUGCGUAGCCGAGUUGAGAGACUGAUCGGCCACAUUGGGACUGAGACACGGCCCAAACUCCUACGGGAGGCAGCAGUAGGGAAUCUUCCACAAUGGACGCAAGUCUGAUGGAGCAACGCCGCGUGAGUGAAGAAGGUUUUCGGAUCGUAAAGCUCUGUUGUUGGUGAAGAAGGAUAGAGGCAGUAACUGGUCUUUAUUUGACGGUAAUCAACCAGAAAGUCACGGCUAACUACGUGCCAGCAGCCGCGGUAAUACGUAGGUGGCAAGCGUUGUCCGGAUUUAUUGGGCGUAAAGCGAGCGCAGGCGGAAUGAUAAGUCUGAUGUGAAAGCCCACGGCUCAACCGUGGAACUGCAUCGGAAACUGUCAUUCUUGAGUGCAGAAGAGGAGAGUGGAAUUCCAUGUGUAGCGGUGGAAUGCGUAGAUAUAUGGAAGAACACCAGUGGCGAAGGCGGCUCUCUGGUCUGCAACUGACGCUGAGGCUCGAAAGCAUGGGUAGCGAACAGGAUUAGAUACCCUGGUAGUCCAUGCCGUAAACGAUGAGCGCUAGGUGUUGGGGACUUUCCGGUCCUCAGUGCCGCAGCAAACGCAUUAAGCGCUCCGCCUGGGGAGUACGACCGCAAGGUUGAAACUCAAAGGAAUUGACGGGGGCCCGCACAAGCGGUGGAGCAUGUGGUUUAAUUCGAAGCAACGCGAAGAACCUUACCAGGUCUUGACAUCCUGUGCUACACCUAGAAAAUAGGUGGUUCCCUUCGGGGACGCAAAAACAGGUGGUGCAUGGCUGUCGUCAGCUCGUGUCCUGAAAAUGUUUGGGGUUAAGUCCCGCAACGAGCGCAACCCUUGUCUUUAGUUGCCAUCCAUUAAGUUGGGCACUCUAAAGAGACUGCCGGUGACAACCCGAAGAAAAAGGGGGGGGGAGAAACUCCAAAUCAUUCAAGGCGCCCUUAUAGACCGGGGGGUACAACACGUGGUACAAUGGGGGGGUUAAAACAGAAAAAGGAACA